rnacentral:rRNA from 1 species
CCUACGGGAGGCUGCAGUGGGGGAUAUUGCACAAUGGGGGAAACCCUGAUGUAGCGAUGCCGCGUGAAUGAAGACGGCCUUCGGGUUGUAAAGUUCUGUCGCAGGGAAGAACGGUCACUGUGCUAAUCAGCAGUGAAUUGACGGUACCUACAAAGGAAGCACCGGCUAACUCCGUGCCAGCAGCCGCGGUCAUACGGAGGGUGCGAGCGUUAAUCGGAAUUACUGGGCGUAAAGCGCUCGUAGGCGGUAUGUCAAGUCAAGGGUGAAAUCCCCGCGCUCAACGUGGGAACUGCCUUUGAAACUGGCAAACUGGAGUGUGUGAGAGGAUAGUGGAAGUCCAGGUGUAGGAGUGAAAUCCGUAGAUAUCUGGAGGAACAUCAGUGGCGAAGGCGACUAUCUGGCACAUAACUGACGCUGAGGAGCGAAAGCGUGGGUAGCAAACAGGAUUAGAUACCCCAGUAGUC